UACCCAUGAAGCCCCGCGCCUGCAUUUGUCGGAUUGUGCUUGGGGAAAAAAAGCGUAAUAUUGUUCCAAUGAUCGAGAAUCAAUAACAUUCAAAGCAUCUACAAACAACAUCUGUUAAAUUGAAUCAAUUCUCUAAGUACACCAAGAUAUAUUCAUAAACUUUCUGGAAGAUGGGGCAGCUUUGCACAGCAGGAGACUGAUGAGGAGACAACUCAACACCUCUAAUGGAAUAGAGCAGUCUCAGCUCUCUGACAAACAGCAGUCAUGGAAACCAAGGAAAAUGGUUCAGUGGACACCAAAUGUUCUGUGGAGAACGGGCAGCUUUCUGAUCCAGCCCACUGGGCCGUAGCGGAUGUGGUCAAUUAUUUUAAAGCUACAGGAUUUGAAGAGCAAGCUAACGCUUUCCAGG